ensembl:lncRNA
GGAGGAGGUGAUGAGGAGGACAGAGUCUGAUGGGAAUGAAUGAGAAGCAGGAGGUGAAAAAGGAGAAACAGGUUCAUGUACCUUCAGUGUGAAGCUCCGCUGCUUCUCCUGCAGCAACUUCCUGCUUCUUCUCCUCCACAUCUUCCAGUCCAGAGUCAUGAUGAUCAGGUUCAUCCACCGUCGGAGAGGAGACGCAAGGAGGUGAUGUAGACUCCUCAGGGAGAGGAGGAGGAACACUGGACUCCUCAGAAACAGUGUGAUGAAGACUGGACUCCUCGGAGUGUUCUAGGUGUGUGUCUGUUGUGUUAUUUCCAGAUAAAGGGUCCUCAGCGUGUUUGUGUUUUGUGUUAUUUUCAGUAAAACAGUCUUUUUCUAUAUGUGCUUGUCUUUCUCCUCUUUCUCCUCCUCCUCUCUCUUCUUCCAUCACCUCCUCUUUUCUCUCCAGACUCUGCUGCAUGAUUAGAACCUGAACCUCCUCUUCUAGCUCCACCUGCUCGGCACCUUCAUCCUCUGACUCCUCCUCUUCAUCCUGGCUCCUCCUACACUGCUCCUCCUCCUGCACCUCCUCUUCUCCUUCUGACUCUACAACUUCAUUCUUUCCUUCUGUCUCCUCCUGCUCUCUCUGUUCUGUUCUGGUUUCAGGUUCUGGGUUCUGGUUCUGGCCUGGUUCUGUACCUGCUAUAGGUUCCUGCUGACAGGAAACUGGUCUGAGGACAACUGCUCCACAGAAGUCCUGGUCCUGGUCCUGGUCCUGGUCCUGCUCUGAGAGCCUGGAGUCCACCUCCACACCGGGCUGACAGAAGUGUGUGGUUCCACUGGUGUGUGUCAUAGCAGCAGAGUGUGCAUUUGUGGUGUGAGGUGUAUGUGUUGUUGUUCCAGGUGUGUGUGUAGUUAUACUGUGUGCAGGUGUGUGUGUUGUUGUUCCAGGUGUGUGUGUUUCAGAUGUGUGUGCAGGUGUGUGUGUCCCAGGUGUUUGUGUUGUUGUAGUGUGUGUAGGUGUGUGUGUUGUUGUUCCAGGUGUGUGUGUUGUUGUAGUGUGUGUAGGUGUGUGUGUUGUUGUUCC